rnacentral:rRNA from 1 species
GAUGAACGCUGACAGAAUGCUUAACACAUGCAAGUCAACUUGAACUUCGGUUUGGGUGGCGGACGGGUGAGUAACGCGUAAAGAACUUGCCUCACAGAUAGGGACAACAUUUGGAAACGAAUGCUAAUACCUGAUAUUAUGAUUAUAUGGCAUCGUAUAAUUAUGAAAGCUAUAUGCGCUGUGAGAGAGCUUUGCGUCCCAUUAGCUAGUUGGAGAGGUAACGGCUCACCAAGGCGAUGAUGGGUAGCCGGCCUGAGAGGGUGAUCGGCCACAAGGGGACUGAGACACGGCCCUUACUCCUACGGGAGGCAGCAGUGGGGAAUAUUGGACAAUGGACCAAGAGUCUGAUCCAGCAAUUCUGUGUGCACGAUGAAGUUUUUCGGAAUGUAAAGUGCUUUCAGUUGGGAAGAAAAAAAUGACGGUACCAACAGAAGAAGUGACGGCUAAAUACGUGCCAGCAGCCGCGGUAAUACGUAUGUCACAAGCGUUAUCCGGAUUUAUUGGGCGUAAAGCGCGUCUAGGUGGUUAUGUAAGUCUGAUGUGAAAAUGCAGGGCUCAACUCUGUAUUGCGAUGGAAACUGUGUAACUAGAGUACUGGAGAGGUAAGCGGAACUACAAGUGUAGAGGUGAAAUUCGUAGAUAUUUGUAGGAAUGCCGAUGGGGAAGCCAGCUUACUGGACAGAUACUGACGCUGAAGCGCGAAAGCGUGGGUAGCAAACAGG